AGGACGAACGCUGGCGGCGUGCUUAACACAUGCAAGUCGAGCGGUAAGGCCUUUCGGGGUACACGAGCGGCGAACGGGUGAGUAACACGUGAGCAACCUGCCCUUCACUUUGGGAUAACCUCCGGAAACGGUGGCUAAUACCGAAUGCGACCACUCCACGCAUGUGGUGGUGGUGGAAAGUUCUGGCGGUGGAGGAUGAGCUCGCGGCCUAUCAGCUUGUUGGUGAGGUAAUGGCUCACCAAGGCUUCGACGGGUA
rnacentral:rRNA from 1 species